AAGAUCUUAAGUUAAAAAAACUAAUAGCCUUCAAAGCUAUAAAUAAAAGAAAUUUAGAUCUUA
rnacentral:tRNA from 1 species